rnacentral:rRNA from 1 species
UACAGAGGUGGCAAGCGUUGUUCGGAAUUACUGGGCGUAAAGGGCGCGUAGGUGGCCUUUUGAGUCAGACGUGAAAUCCCCCGGCUUAACCUGGGAACUGCGUCUGAUACUGGAAGGCUUGAGUUCGGGAGAGGGAUGUGGAAUUCCAGGUGUAGCGGUGAAAUGCGUAGAUAUCUGGAGGAACACCGGUGGCGAAGGCGGCAUCCUGGACCGACACUGACGCUGAUGCGCGAAAGCCAGGGGAGCGAACGGG